GACGAACGCUGGCGGCGUGCUUAACACAUGCAAGUCGAGCGGUAAGGCCCUUUCGGGGGUACACGAGCGGCGAACGGGUGAGUAACACGUGGGUGACCUGCCCUCAGCUCUGGGAUAAGCCUGGGAAACCGGGUCUAAUACUGGAUAUGACUCCAUGACGCAUGUUGUGGGGUGGAAAGCCUUGUGCGGCUGAGGAUGGGCCCGCGGCCUAUCAGCUUGUUGGUGGGGUGAGGCCUACCAAGGCGACGACGGGGUAGCCGGCCUGAGAGGGGCGACCGGGCCACACUGGGACUGAGACACGGCCCAGACUCCUACGGGAGGCAGCAGUGGGGGAAUCUUGCGCAAUGGGCGAAAGCCUGACGCAGCGACGCCGCGUGAGGGAUGACGGCC
rnacentral:rRNA from 1 species